AACGAACGCUGGCGGCAUGCCUAACACAUGCAAGUCGAACGCGUGUAGCAAUACACGAGUGGCGGACGGGUGAGUAACGCGUGGGAACCUGCCCAAUGGUAGGGAAUAACUGCGGGAAACUGCAGCUAAUACCCUAUGCUCCCUACGGGGAAAGAUUUAUCGCCAUUGGAGGGGCCCGCGUCGGAUUAGCUAGUUGGCGGGGUAACGGCCCACCAAGGCUACGAUCCGUAGCUGGUCUGAGAGGAUGAUCAGCCACACUGGGACUGAGAUACGGCCCAGACUCCUACGGGAGGCAGCAGUGGGAAUAUUGGACAAUGGGGGAAACCCUGAUCCAGCAAUGCCGCGUGAGUGAAGAAGGCCUUAGGGUUGUAAAGCUCUUUCGGCGGGACGAUGGUGACGGUACCCGCAGAAGAAGCCCCGGCUAACUUCGUGCCAGCCGCCGCCGUAAC
rnacentral:rRNA from 1 species